CAAACAGGAUUAGAUACCCUGGUAGUCCACGCCCUAAACGAUGUCAACUAGGUGUUGGGAGGGUUAACCUUUUAGUGCCGUAGCUAACGCGUGAAGUUGACCGCUGGGGAGUACGGCCGCAAGGCUAAAACUCAAAGGAAUUGACGGGGACCCGCACAAGCGGUGGAUGAUGUGGAUUAAUUCGAUGCAACGCGAAAAACCUUACCUACCCUUGACAUGUCAGGAAUCCCGAAGAGAUUUGGGAGUGCUCGCAAGAGAGCCUGAACACAGGUGCUGCAUGGCUGUCGUCAGCUCGUGUCGUGAGAUGUUGGGUUAAGUCCCGCAACGAGCGCAACCCUUGUCAUUAAUUGCCAUCAUUCAGUUGGGCACUUUAAUGAGACUGCCGGUGACAAACCGGAGGAAGGUGGGGAUGACGUCAAGUCCUCAUGGCCCUUAUGGGUAGGGCUUCACACGUC
rnacentral:rRNA from 1 species